GAUGAACGCUGGCGGCGUGCCUAAUACAUGCAAGUCGAGCGAACAGACGAGGAGCUUGCUCCUCUGACGUUAGCGGCGGACGGGUGAGUAACACGUGGAUAACCUACCUAUAAGACUGGGAUAACUUCGGGAAACCGGAGCUAAUACCGGAUAAUAUAUUGAACCGCAUGGUUCAAUAGUGAAAGACGGUUUUGCUGUCACUUAUAGAUGGAUCCGCGCCGCAUUAGCUAGUUGGUAAGGUAACGGCUUACCAAGGCAACGAUGCGUAGCCGACCUGAGAGGAUGAUCGGCCACACUGGAACUGAGACACGGUCCAGACUCCUACGGGAGGCAGCAGUAGGGAAUCUUCCGCAAUGGGCGAAAGCUUGACGGAGCAACGCCGCGUGAGUGAUGAAGGUCUUCGGAUCGUAAAACUCUGUUAUUAGGGAAGAACAAAUGUGUAAGUAACUAUGCACGUCUUGACGGUACCUAAUCAGAAAGCCACGGCUAACUACGUG
rnacentral:rRNA from 1 species